AAGUCGUAACAAGGUAACCGUAGGUGAACCUGCGGUUGGAUCAUUAUCAAAAGAAGUACUUUAGAGUACCCUUUAACCCGCUGGGGCUACCUAAACAGUAGUGCCAGUCAACCUUGUGUGAACCGUUUAUUGUCUCUGGCAGACCCGCUAGUCUGUUGCCUAGUGCUCGAGCUGUGGCUCUUUUGCUUUGUGAUAGCAGCCAGCGACUGCCAGUCUUUUUGUUAAACACCUUUAUUUAAACCCGUCUUAAUCAAAUAAUUAAAUUUGAAACAACUUUUGACAACGGAUCUCUUGGCUCUC
rnacentral:misc_RNA from 1 species